rnacentral:rRNA from 1 species
UACGAAGGGGGCUAGCGUUGCUCGGAAUCACUGGGCGUAAAGCGCACGUAGGCGGCUUUUUAAGUCAGGGGUGAAAUCCUGGAGCUCAACUCCAGAACUGCCUUUGAUACUGAGAAGCUUGAGUUCGGGAGAGGUGAGUGGAACUGCAAGUGUAGAGGUGAAAUUCGUAGAUAUUCGCAAGAACACCAGUGGCGAAGGCGGCUCACUGGCCCGAUACUGACGCUGAGGUGCGAAAGCGUGGGGAGCAAACAGG